UACGUAGGGUGCGAGCGUUAAUCGGAAUUACUGGGCGUAAAGCGUGCGCAGGCGGCUUUUUAAGCCAGAUGUGAAAUCCCCGGGCUUAACCUGGGAACUGCAUUUGGAACUGGAAAGCUAGAGUGCGGCAGAGGGGGGUAGAAUUCCACGUGUAGCAGUGAAAUGCGUAGAUAUGUGGAGGAAUACCGAUGGCGAAGGCAGCCCCCUGGGUCGACACUGACGCUCAUGCACGAAAGCGUGGGGAGCAAACAGG
rnacentral:rRNA from 1 species